CUUGAAUCCCAGAGGCAUUGCAAGUGUCUCUUUUAUGUUAUGCGAGUAUCAGUAGGAGGCAGAGAAGAGAGAGGUUAUGUCUACACUCAACUCACUGUCCUGACCUAUGAACAUCUGAAUGAUUAGUAGCCUAACAUU